UGACCUCAAAUCAGGUAGGACUACCCGCUGAACUUAAGCAUAUCAAUAAGCGGAGGAAAAGAAACUAACAAGGAUUCCCCUAGUAACUGCGAGUGAAGA
rnacentral:rRNA from 1 species